CUCAAAUCCGCCGGGUCGUCUGCCAGGAAAAGCCUCUAAGGAGAGUUAGGUAACCGCACCACAAACCGACACAGGUGGACGAGAUGAAUAUUCUAAGGCGCUCGGGUGAUGGUAUGUUCAGGAACUAGGCACAUUAGCUCCGUAACUUCGGGAGAAGGAGUGCCCACGCAAGUGGGUCGCAGUGAAGAGUCUCAGGCGACUGUUUAACAAAAACACAGGUCUCUGCUAAGUCGAAAACGACGUAUAGGGGCUGACGCCUGCCCGGUGCCGGAAGGUUAAAGGGAGAGGUUAGCGCAAGCGAAGCUUUGAACUGAAGCCCCGGUGAACGGCGGCCGUAACUAUAACGGUCCUAAGGUAGCGAACUUCCUUGUCGGGUAAGUUCCGACCUGCACGAAUGGCGUAACGAUCUGAGAACUGUCUUAACAUGCCGCCCGGCGAACUUGUGGUCCCGGUGAAGACGCCGGGUGCCCGCCACUAGACGAAAAGACCCCGUGCACCUUUACUAUACUUUUUCAUUGAUUUAUGGGGCCAUCUGCGCAGCAUAGGUGGGAGGCUUUGAUUCCAGGUUCUCGGACUUGGAGGAGCCAACGGUGAGAUACCACCCUGAUGGUUCUGUGAAUCUAACCUGCUUCCGUAAUCCGGAAGAGGGACGAUGGAAGACGGGUAGUUUGACUGGGGCGGUCGCCUCCUAAAUUGUAACGGAGGCGCGCGAAGCUAGGUUCAGGCUGUUUGGAAAUCAGCCGACGAGUGCAAAAGCAUAAACCUGGUUAACUGUAAGACCAACAAGUCGAGCAGAUACGAAAGUAGGCUUUAGUGAUCCGGUGAUUCUGUAUGGAAGGGUCAUCGCUCAACGGAUAAAAGGUACGCCGGGGAUAACAGGCUGAUCGGAGUCAAGAGUUCACAUCGACGCUCCGGUUUGGCACCUCGAUGUCGGCUCAUCGCACCCUGGGGGUGUAGAAGCUCCCAAGGGUUAGGCUGUUCGCCUAUUAAAGCGGUACGUGAGCUGGGUUCAGAACGUCGCGAGACAGUUCGGUCUCUAUCUGUGGUGGGCGGAGGAAAUUUGAAGGGGCCUGCCCUUAGUACGAGAGGACCGGGGUGGACGAAUCUCUUGUGUUCCAGUUGUCACACCAGUGGCAUAGCUGGGUAGCGAAAUUCGGUCAGGAUAAGCGCUGAAUGCAUAUAAGCGCGAAACCUUCCCUAAGAUGAGAUUUCCCAACGAAAGUAAGAAGAGCACUGGAAGACUACCAGUUUGAUAGGGCAGAUGUGUAAGCGUAGUAAUACGUUGAGCUUACUGCUACUAAUCGCUCGUUCGGCUUGACCAU
rnacentral:rRNA from 1 species